GUAGCGUGGAUGGAGAAUAACGCGUGGCUGGAGGAACAAUUGAAAAAUGGAUAAGAUAAUAAAACAAAAAAAUGAUCAAAUUAUGAAGCUGCAGGCCCAGUUAUUGGAACAACACAAAAUAUUAGAUAACAACAAAGCUAAGGAUCGUAGGCCUAAUACGUAAUGAUUCUAUUUAUUUGCUUUUAUUCAUUCGUGUUUUGUAGCUCAAAUUUUGAGUCUACAAGCUCAGCUAGGGUAAAAGAACAAAUUGGAACGAAACAGUUUCCAAACAGUGAAGGAGGUUUUUCAAAACUCAUCCCUAACUGAACGUGAGGAUGAGUUGGCAUUAGGUGAACACAGCCAGUUAUUCAGUCCACUACCUGACAGUGUGUUAAAGUUAAAUUCUGUUAGUGCUGCACUAAAAGAAUUGUUAGUAAUAAGCCCAUGCAGUGAAGGAACUGAACAAUUGUGGGACUGUAUUUGGGCUGAAAAUGGGUGUGGUACAGAAACCCAGAAAUGGCACAAGUUCAACAUGAAACAUGGAUUAGAAUUUUAGCAGGGGAUCAAGUCAAGUCUGGAAGUGUUACAGGAUGGAAGAGUCAGCCUACAGUUGAAAAAAACACUGAGAGUGCAUUACCAUUAAGGUAUGAGGUAAAGUAAUAGGGUAUGCACAUUGUCUAAUGAGAAGUACCAUCUUGUGUGAAUGAAUCCUGUAUAACAGCAAUCCUUUAUAGUUCUGUCACAGCUAGAAGCCUCAAAUAAUUCUGCUUCCCUUGCUAAAGAACAACUUGUCCUUUACGCUCAGUGUUGGUGAAGCUGGGUACUUAAAUGGCCCUAAAGAUGUUUCACUUCACUGGCAUUGCAGCGAUGAACAUCAUACAUAGACUCUUUAGGUAUGAAAGGAAUUUUCUUGAAAAUUUUUUGAAUUUAUGAUAAAGCUUUUCUCCUCCUUUUUGCCAACCAUGUCUAAUCUACAAAAAAAAAAUUAUCCAAUAGGAAAGGAUUUUCAGCAUACUGGGAACACAACUAUCAACAAUGCAACAUUCUAGGGGUUUUAUUUUAUCAUUCAAGAGCCUUAUACAAUGAUUUUCAUCUGCAAUUUGUAUGGCCUUUCCCAAGCUUCUGCCAGAAGUUGAAUCUAUAAGUCAUGUAAGUCACAUGAGCAACAAUUGAGAUGCUUAAUGGUGUUGUUUUUCCUUUCUCGGCAUAGGUUAAUAGUAACAUUGGAUCUGAAAAGAUUCUUGGU